rnacentral:rRNA from 1 species
GACGAACUCUGGCGGCGUGCUUAACACAUGCAAGUCGUACGGUAAGGCCCUUUCGGGGGUACACGAGUGGCGAACGGGUGAGUAACACGUGAGUAACCUGCCCACAACUUUGGGAUAACGCUAGGAAACUGGUGCUAAUACUGGAUAUGUGCUCCUGCUGCAUGGUGGGGGUUGGAAAGCUCCGGCGGUUGUGGAUGGACUCGCGGCCUAUCAGCUUGUUGGUGGGGUAGUGGCCUACCAAGGCGGCGACGGGUAGCCGGCCUGAGAGGGUGACCGGCCACAUUGGGACUGAGAUACGGCCCAGACUCCUACGGGAGGCAGCAGUGGGGAAUAUUGCACAAUGGGCGCAAGCCUGAUGCAGCAACGCCGCGUGCGGGAUGACGGCCUUCGGGUUGUAAACCGCUUUCAGCAGGGACGAAGCUUUUUGUGACGGUACCUGCAGAAGAAGCACCGGCUAACUACGUGCCAGCAGCCGCAGUAAAAC